rnacentral:rRNA from 1 species
GAAUUCGCCCUUAGAGUUUGAUCCUGGCUCAGGACGAACGCUGGCGGCAUGCCUAACACAUGCAAGUCGAACGGAAGUGUAUUUAUAUACUUUAGUGGCGAACGGGUGAGUAACACGUGAGCAACCUACCUUACACAUUGGGAUAACACUGGGAAACUGGUGCUAAUACCGAAUAAGACCCCGAAAUGGCAUCAUUUAGAGGUCAAAGCACAAGUGGUGUGAGAUGGGCUCGCGUCCAAUUAGCUAGUUGGUGGGGUAACAGCUCACCAAGGCAACGAUUGGUAGCCGGCCUGAGAGGGUGAUCGGCCACACUGGAACUGAGACACGGUCCAGACUCCUACGGGAGGCAGCAGUGGGGAAUAUUGGGCAAUGGAGGAAACUCUUACCCAGCAAUGCCGCGUGAGUGAAUUAGAAGGUCUUCGGAUUGUAAAGCUCUUUGAUUAGGGAAGAUAAUGACGUGUACCUAAAGAACAAGCCCCGGCUAACUAUGUGCCAGCAGCCGCGGUAAUACAUAGGGGGCAAGCGUUGUCCGGAAUGACUGGGCGUAAAGGGUGCGUAGGUGGUGUACCAAGUUGGAAGUGUAAUACCCAGAGCUUAACUCGGGUGCUGCUUCCAAAACUGGUUUACUUGAGUGUCGGAGGGGAAAGUGGAAUUCCUAGUGUAGCGGUGGAAUGCGUAGAUAUUAGGAGGAACACCGGUGGCGAAAGCGGCUUUCUGGACGACAACUGACACUGAGGCACGAAAGCGUGGGGAGCAAACAGGAUUAGAUACCCUGGUAGUCCACGCCGUAAACGAUGGAUACUAGGUGUAGGGGGUAUCGACUCCCUCUGUACCGAAACAAACGCAAUAAGUAUCCCGCCUGAAUAAUACGGUCGCAGGCUAAAACUCAAAAAAUUGACGGGGACCCGCCCAACCACCGGAGCAGGGGGUUUAAUUCCAAACAACGCAAAAAACCUUACCAAGAAUUGACAUCCUUU